GGAGAGAUGGCUGAGCGGCUGAAGGCGCCGGUUUCGAAAACCGGUUGGUGCGAAAGUGCCACUAGGGUUCGAAUCCCUAUCUCUCCG
rnacentral:tRNA from 1 species